GACGAACGCUGGCGGCGUGCUUAACACAUGCAAGUCGAACGGACAGGCCCCUUUGUUGCUCCUCGGGUGUCGACCGCGUGCGUAACACUUGCGUAACCUGCCCUUGCCUUUGGGAUAACUUCAGCUUCCUGGGGCCAAUACCGGUUCGGAAUCCUUUCUGCAUGGUGGUGGUUGGAUAGCUUCGGCGGUUUUGGAUGUACUCGCUGCUUAUCAGCUUGUUGGUGUGGUAGUGGCUUACCAAGGCUUCGUCGGGUAGCGGGCCUGAGAAGGCGACCUGCCACAUUGGGACUGAGAGACGGCCCAGAUUGCGACGGGAGGCAGCAGGGGGGAAUAUUGCACAAUGGGCGGAGGGCGGAUGCAGAAGGGCCGCGUGCGGGAUAACGGCCUUAGGGUUGAAAACCGAUUUUAGAAGGGGCGAAGCUUGUGGUGACGGUACCUGCAGAAGAAGCACCGGCUAACUACGUG
rnacentral:rRNA from 1 species